rnacentral:rRNA from 1 species
ACGCUAGCGACAGGCUUAACACAUGCAAGUCGAGGGGCAGCGGGGGUAGCAAUACCCGCCGGCGACCGGCGCACGGGUGAGUAACGCGUAUGCAACUUACCUAUCAGAGGGGGAUAACCCGGCGAAAGUCGGACUAAUACCGCAUGAAGCAGGGGCCCCGCAUGGGGAUAUUUGCUAAAGAUUCAUCGCUGAUAGAUAGGCAUGCGUUCCAUUAGGCAGUUGGCGGGGUAACGGCCCACCAAACCGACGAUGGAUAGGGGUUCUGAGAGGAAGGUCCCCCACAUUGGUACUGAGACACGGACCAAACUCCUACGGGAGGCAGCAGUGAGGAAUAUUGGUCAAUGGCCGAGAGGCUGAACCAGCCAAGUCGCGUGAGGGAUGAAGGUUCUAUGGAUCGUAAACCUCUUUUAUAAGGGAAUAAAGUGCGGGACGUGUCCCGUUUUGUAUGUACCUUAUGAAUAAGGAUCGGCUAACUCCGUGCCAGCAGCCGCGGUAAUACGGAGGAUCCGAGCGUUAUCCGGAUUUAUUGGGUUUAAAGGGUGCGUAGGCGGCCUUUUAAGUCAGCGGUGAAAGUCUGUGGCUCAACCAUAGAAUUGCCGUUGAAACUGGGGGGCUUGAGUAUGUUUGAGGCAGGCGGAAUGCGUGGUGUAGCGGUGAAAUGCAUAGAUAUCACGCAGAACCCCGAUUGCGAAGGCAGCCUGCCAAGCCAUUACUGACGCUGAUGCACGAAAGCGUGGGGAUCAAACAGGAUUAGAUACCCUGGUAGUCCACGCAGUAAACGAUGAUCACUAGCUGUUUGCGAUACACUGUAAGCGGCACAGCGAAAGCGUUAAGUGAUCCACCUGGGGAGUACGCCGGCAACGGUGAAACUCAAAGGAAUUGACGGGGGCCCGCACAAGCGGAGGAACAUGUGGUUUAAUUCGAUGAUACGCGAGGAACCUUACCCGGGUUUGAACGCAUUCGGACCGAGGUGGAAACACCUUUUCUAGCAAUAGCCGUUUGCGAGGUGCUGCAUGGUUGUCGUCAGCUCGUGCCGUGAGGUGUCGGCUUAAGUGCCAUAACGAGCGCAACCCUUGCCACUAGUUACUAACAGGUUAGGCUGAGGACUCUGGUGGGACUGCCAGCGUAAGCUGCGAGGAAGGCGGGGAUGACGUCAAAUCAGCACGGCCCUUACAUCCGGGGCGACACACGUGUUACAAUGGCGUGGACAAAGGGAGGCCACCUGGCGACAGGGAGCGAAUCCCCAAACCACGUCUCAGUUCGGAUCGGAGUCUGCAACCCGACUCCGUGAAGCUGGAUUCGCUAGUAAUCGCGCAUCAGCCAUGGCGCGGUGAAUACGUUCCCGGGCCUUGUACACACCGCCCGUCAAGCCAUGGGAGCCGGGGGUACCUGAAGUCCGUAACCGCGAGGAUCGGCCUAGGGUAAAACUGGUGACUGGGGCUAAG